UCCUCGCUCAAAGGAUCGCAUUCAAAGCUCACACACAGAGUACGCCUUCUAGGAUGCUCUCUCUCUUCUUCCGAGGAGAGGCCAAGCUUUGGGGAAAGUCCCCGGACAUCCUGACCCUCUAUUCCGGUCAGGCAAUGCGGAAACGCGCCGCCAUAGAAGCAAUUUGACAGCGGCUGACUGCCCUAUUCUCUCCCGGCGCUCACGCCCUGCCCGACACCUCGGUGGAAACAAUGGUGGUAUGGCUGGCGUCGGAGAGAGGUUUAUCGGGUUGCCAUUCGUCGUGGUUCAAUAGUCAUGCGAUUGCCCGGUCAUUGGACUGGGUAACCCAACGGGGCUCAUUCUCGAGGCGAGG
rnacentral:RNase_MRP_RNA from 2 species